GACGGCCCCAGCGAUCGGGACGCGCCGCCUGUCACCGUACUAGGUGGGGUAACGGCCCACCUAUCCUACGACGGGGACGGACCCUGACAGGGGGAGCCCGGAGAUGGGCACUGAGACAAGGGUCUAGGCCCUAAGGGGCGCAGCAGGCGCGAAGAUUCCGCAAUGCCCGAAAGGGCGACGGAGUGAACCCGAGUGCCACCCGCUGAGGGUGGCUGUUCCCCUGUGUAAAAAGCAGGGGGCAGGAAGGGGAGGGCAAGGCUGGUGGCAGCCGCCGCGGUAAAACCAGCUCCCCGAGGGGUUCCCACGCAUACUGGGCCUAAAGCGUCCGUAGCCGGCCCUGUAAGUCUGCAGUUAAAUCCGCCUGUAGACAGGCGGGUUGCUGCAGAUACUGCAGGGCUAGGGAGCGGGAGGAGCCGGGGGUAUUCCCGGGGGAGCGGUAAAAUGCGUAGAUCCCGGGAGGACCACCAGUGGCGAAGGCGCCCGGCUUGAACGCGUCCGACGGUGAGGGACGAAAGCUGGGGGAGCAAACCGGAUUAGAUACCCGGGUAGUCCCAGCCGUAAACGAUGCCGGCUAGGUGCUGGCCAAGGUUUCGGCCUUGGCCAGUGUCGAAGCGAAGGCAUUAAGCCGGCCGCCUGAGGAGUACGGCCGCAAGGCUGAAACUUGAAGGAAUUGACGGGGGGGCACCACAAGGGGUGAAUGCCUGCGGCUUAAUUGGACUCAACGCCGGGAAUCUUACCGGGGGCGACAGCAGGAUGAAGGUCAGGCUGAAGACCUUACCAGACGCGCUGAGGGGUGGUGCAUGGCCGUCGCCAGCUCGUGCCGUGAGGUGUCCUGUUAAGUCAGGCAACGAGCGAGACCCCCGCCCCUAGUUGCCAGCGGCCUCCUUGGGGAGGGACCGGGCAAAAUAGGGGGUCCGCCUCCGAAGAGGAGGAGGAAGGUGGGGGCUACGGCAGGUCAGUAUGCCCCUAAUCCCCGGGGCCGCACGCGGGCUGCAAUGGGCCGGACAGCGGGAUC
rnacentral:rRNA from 1 species